CCCCUAAACAGAAAGUGUGAAGAGGCUGC
rnacentral:piRNA from 1 species